rfam:Cicer arietinum chromosome Ca1, whole genome shotgun sequence.
ACAGCGGUGAUGAGCCUUUAACAUGUAAGAAGACUCCCUAGGUGGGUUUUUUCUGUGAAAUUUACUUGUUACGCUUGGCUUCUGAGCUUC